rnacentral:rRNA from 1 species
AUUGAACGCUGGCGGCAGGCCUAACACAUGCAAGUCGAGCGGAGCGGCGGACGGGUGAGUAAUGCCUAGGUAUCUGCCUGGUAGUGGGGGAUAACGUCCGGAAACGGGCGCUAAUAUCGCAUACUAUCCGAUGAGCCUAGGUAGGAUUAGCUAGUUGGUGGGGGAAAGGCCUACCAAGGCGACGAUCCGUAACUGGUCUGAGAGGAUGAUCAGUCAAACUGGAACUGAGACCAGGUCCAGAGUCCUACGAUAGGCAGCAGUGGGGAAUAUUGGAAAAUGGGCGAAAGCCUGAGCCAGCCAUGCCGCGUGUGUGAAGAAGGUCUUCGGAUUGUAAAGCACUUUAAGUAGAGAGGCGUUACCAACGGAAUAAGCACCGGCUAACUUCGUGCCAGCCGCCGCGGUAAUAC